AACGAAACACAAACUAAAUCUCUAAACCAAAGUCCAAAACCUAAACUUCAUCCCUCAGCCGCCACUUCCCUUCCCCACUUUCUUAUUUCUUUCUUUUACCAUUAAUCGAUAUUAAUUCAAGGCUGCGGGAAGAACAGAGGAUCAACAAGAGUGUAUCCCCAUUGCAAUCUCCAUUUAUGGACAAAAAUUUUAACUUGUUGGUUCGUCUAUUCCCCAGAUGCUCAAGAGAAAAGUGCCUUUGAGAAAUUGUAAUCUCUUCUAAUGCCAAACUUCUAGUGAUUACGGAGAGUGCUUCAUAUAUUGUUGGAUGCAUAAAAAUCAACUGGUGUGAUGAAGGUGGCGACAUAAGUCAUCAAGAUCAAAUAGGAGUGACAACAUGAAUUAUCAAGCAAAUGCUUAUAUUCGUUUAAUGUGGAAUGCUAUACAUUAUUUCUAAUCUCUAUUAUCAUCAAGCCUCACAUCGGCUAAUUCUUUUCUUCAAAUUUUAUUAUUGUAAAAAAGUUAUGUAAUGCAGAUGCUAUUAAUUGAUCAAUAUGAAUGUGUAUCUUGGAUUUA